GAUCCUGGCUCAGGAUGAACGCUGGCGGCGUGCUUAACACAUGCAAGUCGAGCGAAGCACUUUGCUUUGAUUUCUUCGAGAUGAAGAGCUUAGUGACUGAGCGGCGGACGGGUGAGUAACGCGUGGGUAACCUGCCUCAUACAGGGGGAUAACAGUUAGAAAUGACUGCUAAUACCGCAUAAGACCACAGCACCGCAUGGUGCAGGGGUAAAAACUCCGGU
rnacentral:rRNA from 1 species